AUGAAGCGUUCCCGCCGGUGCGCUGUCCCUCCGCCGGCGACGGCCCAACAACGUCCUACGACGAGGAGGACAGCUGACAAAGUGAUGCUGCUGCUGUUUGAGACGCCCUCUGGAUUUGCAGUUUUCAAUUUUUUUGCGACGCUCAUUGAACAACCAAAUGCCCUGGAGGUUGUUUGGCUGAGGCAGUUUCAAACUAUAGAGGACAGUUCUAGCGCCAUUAAUCAAAGCACUGGUGUUAAUGGAAGUCUUACUGAGAUGAUCAUGAAGUAUCACUGCCCUGGGCAGAGAAUGGCUGUUGGAGAGUCUGGAUAUAAAAAAAUCAUUGAAGAAAGAUUGAAAAUAACCUGCGUGUAUGAUCCAACUGUGAUGGAGUUAAUGUGGGGCAUACAGAUUCGUAUGAGACAAUUGGUGCCUAGAGAAAAGUCGUAUCUGCAUGAAUCUCAACUUCUCCCAAUGAGUCAAGGACUACAAAAUGUCUUGAGUCGUUAUCAUUUUACUUAUUUCAACCCGGACAUGCUCAACGAGAGAAUUCUUAUUAUGGCUUAUGCCUUGUUUGAGUGUGACUCAUUUGAGAACGAGAAGUCUGGAGACUUGCACCAUGUAGCUUCUGUCAUUAAGGAUGUGUCUGGCAUCGAAACUGAUGCUUGGGACUUACUAAAAAUUGCAACAGCUGUGAAGAGGGUAUGGUGCCCUAAAGAAGCUAGCAAUUCUUGUGAGUUUUCAGAACACGAGGUAAAGAGGUUGGUCAAUGAUGCCGAUAAAUAUGAAGUUAAGCUGGAUAAGGAUGCUUGCUUGAAAGUCUCCAGACAAAUGAUAACAGUUUUUCAUUUUAGGAAUGAUAAGAAAAUACUAUUGAAAAAAUAUAUUGCGCAAGCUGAAUAA
rnacentral:rRNA from 1 species